rnacentral:rRNA from 1 species
GACGAACGCUGGCGGCGUGCCUAAUACAUGCAAGUCGAGCGGAUUAGUUUGAAAGCUUGCUUUCAAACUGGUUAGCGACGGACGGGUGAGUAACACGUAGGUAACCUGCCCAGAAGACCGGGAUAACAGUCGGAAACGAUUGCUAAUACCGGAUACGCGAUUCUGUUGCAUGACGGAAUCGGGAAAGGCGGAGCAAUCUGCUGCUUUUGGAUGGACCUGCGGCGCAUUAGCUAGUUGGUGAGGUAACGGCUCACCAAGGCGACGAUGCGUAGCCGACCUGAGAGGGUGAUCGGCCACACUGGGACUGAGACACGGCCCAGACUCCUACGGGAGGCAGCAGUAGGGAAUCUUCCGCAAUGGGCGAAAGCCUGACGGAGCAACGCCGCGUGAGUGAUGAAGGUUUUCGGAUCGUAAAGCUCUGUUGCCAGGGAAGAACGGCCAGGAGAGUAACUGCUCUUGGUUUGACGGUACCUGAGAAGAAAGCCCCGGCUAACUACGUGCCAGCCGCCGCGGUAA